AUCCCCAUGGUCAUGUCUAAAAUCGAGUGGAUGAGCCGAGCGGUGACUGUGAAGACACUGCCUGGUCCAGCUCCCUCGCUCACUAGCGCCGCCUUCUGAACAAGUCAUUUACGUCUGACAGCCUCGGUCUCCUCAAGUACCGGAUGGGUCCGCCACCCCCACCCUGGCUCCUUCUCAGGCCACUGGGUGCUUGAGACUUCUUCGAGGGACGAGGGUCACCCACAGGCCGGUAUCUCUGGGUUGGCAAGAGGGAGGCUGGCCAAGGGGAAGGAAGACCACCGCCAACAAGAAGGGGCUCCUGCACCAGGACAGCCAAGCCCUGCACUCACUCAGGUUGCAGGAAAGUGCCGCUGAGAUGCCAGAACAAAGAUUUCCACUUGACUGACAGCUCCACGGAGGGUCUAUACAGCAGUGUCAGCCUGUGGGUGGGACUACACCAAGCAGGGAUCCUCAUGAGAUGCCCUUGUGGGACGUGAUCAAAUCCUACUACCUCUUUGCCCAAAACCCUCCAAGAGACCCCAGGGGUCAGAAUGGCUCAGCCUACCCCGGAAGAGAGAAGAGGCAAAAGAGAAUGCUGACCAGCUAAAACUCGAGUCUCUGCCUGCCACUGCAACGGGGCCGCCAGCGACCUCUUCCAAACCAUGUCCUUGCAGGGCUGGACUCCCGGGUGAUGCACAGAAAGACCCGGCUCUCGGCUUAGGGCUCAGCUGCCGCCAUCUUGAAAUUCUCA
rnacentral:lncRNA from 1 species